GAACGCUAGCGGUGCGCCUAAUACAUGCAAGUCGAGCGAGAAUUUUUUAUAGCUUGCUAUAAAAAAGGAAAGCGGCGAACGGGUGAGUAACACGUUGGCAUCUGCCCUUUGGUCAGGGAUAGCCAAUCGAAAGAUUGAUUAAUACCGGAUGGUCUCGAGAGAGUAAAAAUUUAUUGCCAAAGGAGGAGCCUGCGUCCUAUCAGCUAGUUGGUGAGGUAAAAGCUCACCAAGGCUAUGACGGGUAAUUGAUCUGAGAGGAUGAUCAGUCACAAUGGAACUGAGACACGGUCCAUACUCCUACGGGAGGCAGCAGUAGGGAAUCUUCCACAAUGGACGAAAGUCUGAUGGAGCGACACCGCGUGAAGGAUGAAGGUCUAACGAUUGUAAACUUCUUUUCUGGGGGAGCAUAAUGAGAGUACCCCAGGAAUA
rnacentral:rRNA from 1 species